CAGCCACUUAGGCAAUCUGACCUCCAGGCCAGUGGGUUGGCUGCCGGGAAAGCACCUGCGUGCGGGCACUGUGCCACCCAUGAGGACGGCAGGAUUCUGACGGCUCAGGCCCUGGGGCUCUCCUCCUCCAGAAAUGGGGAUCCAGCACUUUACUACACAAGGUUUGAGAAAGGACUGAUUGAUACCUUGCACAGGCUCUCUCCAUGGAAAGUAACUGCCCACCUGCAUGACCCCAACACAGAGAAAACCAAUAAUCUAACAUGAACGGAGGGCUCCCUCCUGUUUCCCUUCCCGUCGGGGCCGCGGGCAAUCAGACGCAGAUACUGCAGCUGAAAUAGAGCCGCAUCUACAGCCUGUUCCAGAGAAACAGCGAGGAGCCUGGGGGCCUGUGCUUCGAGGGCACCAACAGUUUCUUCUUUGCAGCCUGGACUCAAAACGCACUGAGAAGCGUCCUCUUCUGACAGUGGGGCUCCAGGAGAGGGUGAUAAGUCUUCUCUACUUCCAUCUCCAUGUUUGAAAGAAGAGGCAAUCUAAUCUAGGGCCUUCCGAGGAUGGAGAAAGCCAUGGCUGCCCUGUGCCAGCACAGAGCCCAGCCGACUGACCGACAAUCUCGACGAGGGAUAAGGUCACCUCUGGCUUGGAAGGCAAUGAAGACACAGAGAAGCAGGGCAGCAUCUUGGUGGCUUGUUCCAGGGAUGAGGGCCAGCCCAGAACCACAGACAGCUUACGGGUGUGACCGCUGCUGCCAGCAGCCCACUGUGCUUCUCAGGACAGCCACUCACACGCACGGCGGACCAUGGUGCUUGUAGGAACUGAUCUCAGGGAACUGGGAAUAAACACCAAACCAAGCUCA